rnacentral:rRNA from 1 species
AUUGAACGCUGGCGGCAGGCCUAACACAUGCAAGUCGAACGAGUGGCGGACGGGUGAGUAAUGUCUGGGAAACUGCCUGAUGGAGGGGGAUAACUACUGGAAACGGUAGCUAAUACCGCAUACCACCGGAUAUGCCCAGAUGGGAUUAGCUAGUAGGUGGGGUAACGCAUCACGUAGGCGACGAUCCCUAGCUGGUCUGUGCGGGUGACCAGCCACGCUGGAACUGAGACACGGGCCAUGCUCCUAGUGGAGGCGGCAGUGGGGAAUAUUGCACAAUGGGCGCAAGCCUGCUGCAGCCAUGCCGCGUGUGUAAGAAGGCCUUCGGGUUGUAAAGUACUUUCAGCGGGGAGGCGUUACCCGCAGAAGAAGCACCGGCUAACUCCGAGCCAGCAGCCGCGGUAAUAC